AGAGCCGCCCAAGGGAUGGCGAUGGCGUACUUGGCUUGGAGACUGGCGCGGCGUUCGUGUCCGAGGUCACUAGUUUCCCGGUAGUUCAGCUGCACAUGAAUAGAACAGCAAUGAGAGCCAGUCAGAAGGACUUUGAAAAUUCAAUGAAUCAAGUGAAACUCUUGAAAAAGGAUCCAGGAAACGAAGUGAAGCUAAAACUCUACGCGCUAUAUAAGCAGGCCACUGAAGGACCUUGUAACAUGCCCAAACCAGGUGUAUUUGACUUGAUCAACAAGGCCAAAUGGGACGCAUGGAAUGCCCUUGGCAGCCUGCCCAAGGAAGCUGCCAGGCAGAACUAUGUGGAUUUGGUGUCCAGUUUGAGUCCUUCAUUGGAAUCCUCUAGUCAGGUGGAGCCUGGAACAGACAGGAAAUCAACUGGGUUUGAAACUCUGGUGGUGACCUCCGAAGAUGGCAUCACAAAGAUCAUGUUCAACCGGCCCAAAAAGAAAAAUGCCAUAAACACUGAGGAAGGUUGGUAAUUGUGGCUACUUCAUACAACAGAGUUGAGCAUUCAUUGUUUAGAGUUUGUGAAUUUCAGAUGUAUCAUGAAAUUAUGCGUGCACUUAAAGCUGCCAGCAAGGAUGACUCAAUCAUCACUGUUUUAACAGGAAAUGGUGACUAUUACAGUAGUGGGAAUGAUCUGACUAACUUCACUGAUAUUCCCCCUGGUGGAGUAGAGGAGAAAGCUAAAAAUAAUGCCGUUUUACUGAGGGAAUUUGUGGGCUGUUUUAUAGAUUUUCCUAAGCCUCUGAUUGCAGUGGUCAAUGGUCCAGCUGUGGGCAUCUCCGUCACCCUCCUUGGGCUAUUCGAUGCCGUGUAUGCAUCUGACAGGGCAACAUUUCAUACACCAUUUAGUCACCUAGGCCAAAGUCCGGAAGGAUGCUCCUCUUACACUUUUCCGAAGAUAAUGAGCCCAGCCAAGGCAACAGAGAUGCUUAUUUUUGGAAAGAAGUUAACAGCGGGAGAGGCAUGUGCUCAAGGACUUGUUACUGAAGUUUUCCCUGAUAGCACUUUUCAGAAAGAAGUCUGGACCAGGCUGAAGGCAUUUGCAAAGCUUCCCCCAAAUGCCUUGAGAAUUUCAAAAGAGGUAAUCAGGAAAAGAGAGAGAGAAAAACUACACGCUGUUAAUGCUGAAGAAUGCAAUGUCCUUCAGGGAAGAUGGCUAUCAGAUGAAUGCACAAAUGCUGUGGUGAACUUCUUAUCCAGAAAAUCAAAACUGUGAUGACCACUACAGCAGAGUAAAGCAUGUCCAAGGAAGGAUGUGCUGUUACCUCUGAUUUCCAGUACUGGAACUAAAUAAGCUUCAUUGUGCCUUUUGUAGUGCUAGAAUAUCAAUUACAAUGAUGAUAUUUCACUACAGCUCUGAUGAAUAAAAAGUUUUGUAAAACAA